GGUCCCCAAUGUCCCCUCCCCCCAUUUUUGGGGUCCCAUCCCAAUUUUUGGUGUCCCCAAUGUCCCCUCCCCCAGCCGAGGCCACCGCGGUGUCACCAGCGCUGGGACUUUAUUGGGGGUGGCACCGGGGGACAGCCAGGUGACGUCGGUGUCACCGUGCCAGCUCCGCGUGACACCUGUGUCACAUCCGUGUCACACCCAGGUGACAUCAGUGUGACAUCUGUGUCACACCCAGGUGACGUCGGUGUCACCGUGCCAGCUCCGUGUGACACCUGUGUGACACCGUGUCCUUGUGUCACACCCAGGUGACACCGGUGUCACUGUCCCAGCUCCGCGUGACACCCGUGUGACACCUCUGUCCUUGUGUCACAUCCAGGUGACAUCCAGGUGACAGCUGUGUCACUGUCCCAGCUCCAGGUGACACCGGUGUCACUGUGCCAGCUCUGUGUCCUUGUGUCACGUCCAGGUGACAUCCGUGUCACCGUGCCAGCUGUGUGUGACAGCUGUGUCACCUCCGUGUCACUGUGCCGUGGCCGUGUCACCAUCUGUGUCACCUCCAGGUGACAGCUCUGUGUGACACCGUGUCCCUGUGUCACACCCAGGUGACAUCGGUGUCACCGUGCCAGCUCCGCGUGGCACCCAGGUGACAGCCGUGUCCCCGUGUCACAGCCGUGUCCUCGUGUGACAUCGAGGUGACACCCAGGUGACAGCCGUGUCCCCGAGCCAGCUCCGUGUCCCCGUGUCACUUUCAGGUGACGUCCAGGUGACAGCCGUGUCACUGUCCCAGCUCCGUGUCCUUGUGCCACACCCAGGUGACAGCCGUGUCACUGUCCCAGCUCCGUGUCCUUGUGCCACGCCCAGGUGACAGCCGUGUCACUGUGCCAUGUCCUUGUGCCACACCCAGGUGACAGCCGUGUCACUGUGCCAUGUCCUUGUGCCAC